rnacentral:piRNA from 1 species
UGUAAUCUAGUGGUACUUGUUGAGAGA